rnacentral:rRNA from 1 species
ACGGAAGGCAGCAGUGGGGGAUAUUGCACAAUGGGGGAAACCCUGAUGCAGCGACGCCGCGUGAGUGAAGAAGUAUUUCGGUAUGUAAAGCUCUAUCAGCAGGGAAGAAAAUGACAGUACCUGACUAAGAAGCACCGGCUAAAUACGUGCCAGCAGCCGCGGUAAUACGUAUGGUGCAAGCGUUAUCCGGAUUUACUGGGUGUAAAGGGAGCGUAGACGGAUGGCUAAGUCUGAUGUGAAAGGUGAGGGCUCAACCCUUAAACUGCAUUGGAAACUGGUCAUCUAGAGUGUCGGAGAGGUAAGUGGAAUUCCUAGUGUAGCGGUGAAAUGCGUAGAUAUUAGGAGGAACACCAGUGGCGAAGGCGGCUUACUGGACGAUAACUGACGUUGAGGCUCGAAAGCGUGGGGAGCAAACAGGAUUAGAUACCCUGGUA